rnacentral:snRNA from 1 species
CCGACUUUGUGAAAUGAC